CCCGCUAUUCAGGCCGCUUCCUCUCCUCCCACCGCUUCCGACGAGCCUUCCUGCCGCUCAGACGCCAGCAGGAGCCUGCGUGAGCACCAUCCGUCCCUGAGUCAUGAAUGAUUGUUCUUACAUGGGCGUCGGGCGCGCUUUCAAACAAGGAAAUCCACCUUACGUAACGUGCCGCCGAACAGACGGGGUGACGUCUAAAUUACCUGGCGCUCAUGACGUCGAUGAAAUGGCACCUGGAUCGGUGAACUGGAGGCCGCGCGAGGACACGCGUCAGUCUCCGUGGCACCAGGAUCCAAUCAUCACGAUUUAAAUCCAAUUUAGACGAAGAGUGGCUGCGCGUCAACAGCUCUCUGCUUCCAGCGUCUCACCGUUAAAUGUCAUUAGCGCCGCUUGUUUCACUGUUUUCGGUGUCACGCGCAUUCAGCGCCUCUCGCCUUCACCUUCGGCGCCGCGGUGUUGCUGUUAAUGGACGCACGUGUGGCUGCUAAUGGAUCCCCGCAGAGCGUCGGGGAGGCGCGUCUGUCAAACGUGGAGGCAGGUGAUUCACCAACCAAUCAGCCGUGCGUCGGAAAAAAAGAGCAUCGCGAGCUCAGACGGCGGCCCGUUCGGCGUUCCGUCUCCUGGAGGGAACAUAAAGUACAGAGACUGUCUGUCGUAGUGGAGAUGAGCAGCGGCGGAACCAAAUGAGACCGGUGUCAAGUCAAACAUCUGCAUGAACAGAUGUGGACCCGGACCCAGCUCAUGUCCUGUUAACGUCACCGGUGCUGGAACCAGCUCCUCCUGACGCGCUCACUUCAAGGUGUCAAUGACGAUUAGGACUCUAACGGUGGAACCGGCGGCCCGCGAGGAGACGCGCCUCCUGACCCACUGAUCCACUGUCCGACUGAUCCACUUCCUCCUCUUAAGUCGCCGGGCGCGUCGCACCUCCGCCGGUUUUGCCUCCCAGCGUCAGGGCGCUGCGGGGACCGCUUUUUUGCCACGUGCGAGCGAACGUGGCCGGUCGUUAACGACUGUCAUCAUUUCAGCCCUGUAGAAGAGAACGAGGCUUCGCGCAGAAUCCCUGAUGUGCUCGUGAGUGUUCGUCUGGGGACCAGUCGGAGGCGUUGGUUCACUUACUGGAGUUCAACACUUUGCCGCACGUGGCUGCAAGUCCCGUCUGGAACCAGAUUAAUCUGCUGCAACUAAAAAUAGCCAUCAAGAUGCUUCUGCGCGGCGUCCAGCUGCGCGUAACACGCUGCCCGGUGCGUGAGCGGUCGGGUCCGGUGGGGAACCCCUCCGGAGAGCCCGAGCCGCGCUGAGGCCUAAUGGUGAGAACGAGGAAGAUGUACGAGGGGCGAAACAUGAAAUCUCACACUUAAUUAGGUCCGCUCCAGAUGUCGACGUGGCUCCUGGAACAGCUGGCGCUUAGCUGUAAUUGCCUCGCUCCCCGAGCUCUAAGGUGCACGUGCGUUUGGACGUCGUCAUCGGUCCACGGGGAAACGUCCUGUCUCGGCUCGGCUCCCUGAUUCUGCUGACACGACACAAUCUUAAUAAGAGAGCAAACGCGCCAUUAGGACACCUGGUAACAAGAGGUAAAAAGAUAUAUAUAUAUAUAUAAAUUGUUGUUUAAAGGGUCCAGCCGUGAUUGGCGCCCGGGCUCUCCCUCUCCCACGCGGAGCCACUUUGUCCUCAGCGCUCAGGUAACGUGGAAAUGACUGGAAUCCAUCAGCGGUCACGUGCGGGCUGACAGAGCGCUGAGUGACAGCGCAGAAGCUUUUAAAAGCCAGAAGAGGAGAGUAGGUCACAAACACCUACAUGAAAUUAUUAGUGAUCUUGCUGCAGAUUUUCUUUAUUUUCAUCAGUAUUUUAUAAAGAUGUGGAAGCACGGUGGACAUGAGGAACCAAACUGAAUCACAGACAUAAACCAAGAAGAUUGAUAAACAAAUAAACACAUUUUCCAGAAUGAGUAUUAGUCACUGUUUGUGUCAUUCUGCAGUUAACAUGAACAAACCCACCCACGCGCACAGACCGUGACCUGUCACAUCAUCUGGUGGAGGAAUCAGUGGAAUCAGCAGGACGCCCGUCGCAGGCCUUCGGUUUGAACCCUGUGGACGUGCCGCUGCUCUGGGAUCAGUUCAGGGCAGUCACGUUGAGGAGCCGAGCAGGAAGGACGUCCACGGUGCGCUGCAAGUGGAGCAGAGCUGCUGGCUGGAGGAAAGGGGGCGACGGUGGAGGCACAAAAGGAUGUCAUCUGCUGGGUAUUUUUAGAGCGUGAGGUGCACUGAUAACUGGCUGCCACCGCAAUCCGCAGGUUCCCACUGAUGAAAGUGUAACUCCGCUCACACUGCGGUGAAAUCCUGCCACAGCUCUGCUUUACUCGCCGGCGAGUUCACUCUGUGAUCGUUUUCUGUGUCCACAUCAACCUUGAAACCUCUUAUGAAUUCACCGUGAGAACAAGGACAAAAUAUACAUUUCUGCCAACGUGCCUUCAGCAGUCUGCCUCCUGCAAAGUACUCACUCAAUCAAAUAUGGGUUGUUUAUUACAGAUUGAACACCAAAUUUACAACUUUCUUCAUUUUUCAAAAAAUCUACUAGAUAAUAAUUAGCUAAGAAUUAUGUCUUUUUUCUGACUUUCUGAAGCCACUGAAGGAAUGUAAUAUAUGGAAACUAUCUCAAAAGGAAUGUUCACUUAAUCUGGAAAAGACUGUUGACUGACUAAGUUUCUGAUUAGAGUUUAAAUAAAAAGAUAUCAGUUGGA